rnacentral:rRNA from 1 species
UGAAUACGAGACGCUAAGGCGUCGAAGUAGUGUAUGUCAUACUUCCAAGAAAAGCUUGCACUGUCAUAAGUAAAAAAUGCCUGUACCAUAACCGACACAGGUGGUAGGUAGAGUAUACUAAGGGGCGCGAGAUAACUCUCUCUAAGGAACUCGGCAAAAUAACUCCGUAACUUCGGGAGAAGGAGUACCUUAUUCUAUAAGGUUGCAAUAACAAGAUCCAAGCAACUGUUUAUCAAAAACACAGGUCUCCGCUAAGUCGUAAGACGAUGUAUGGGGGCUGACGCCUGCCCAGUGCCAGAAGGUUAAAGAAGUCGGUUAGCAUUAGCGAAGCUGGUAACUGAAGCCCUGGUGAACGGCGGCCGUAACAAUAACGAUCCUAAGGUAGCGAAAUUCCUUGUCGGGUAAGUUCCGACCCGCACGAAAGGCGUAAUGAUUUGGAUACUGUCUCGGAGAGGGGCUCGGUGAAAUAGACUUGUCUGUGAAGAUGCGGACUACCUGCACCAGGACAGAAAGACCCUAUGAAGCUUUACUGUAACUUGAAAUUGAAAUUGGACUUUAUUCGCGCAGUAUAGGUGGGAGGUGUUGAUUAUAAUCUUGCGGGAUUAUUGGAGCCAUCAGUGAGAUACCACUCUUGUAAUGUUAGAUUUCUAACUUUGAAUCAUUAUCUGGUCAAAGGACAGUUUCAGGCGGGCAGUUUGACUGGGGCGGUCGCCUCCCAAACGGUAACGGAGGCGUACAAAGGUUUCCUCUGAACGGGUAGAAAUCGUAUCUAGAGUGUAAAGGCAUAAGGAAGCUCGACUGUGAGACCUACAAGUCGAACAGGGACGAAAGUCGGUCUUAGUGAUCUGACGGUACUGAGUGGAAAGGCCGUCACUCAACGGAUAAAAGUUACUCUAGGAUAACAGGCUGAUCUCCCCCAAGAGUUCACAUCGACGGGGAGGUCUGGCACCUCGAUGUCGGCUCAUCGCAUCCUGGGGCGGUAGUACGUCCCAAGGGUUGGGCUGUUCGCCCAUGAAAGCGGUACGCGAGCUGGGUUCAGAACGUCGUGAGACAGUUCGGUCCAUAUCCGGUGUAGGCGUUAGAAUAUUGAGAGGAGCCUUCUUUAGUACGAGAGGACCGAGAAGGACAUACCUCUGGUGUACCAGUUAUCGUGCCAACGGUAAACGCUGGGUAGCUAUGUACGGAGUGGAUAACCGCUGAAAGCAUCUAAGUGGGAAGCCCACCUCAAGAUAAGUAUUCUCACC